GAUGAACGCUGGCGGCGUGCCUAAUACAUGCAAGUCGAGCGAACGGACGAGAAGCUUGCUUUUCUGAUGUUAGCGGCGGACGGGUGAGUAACACGUGGAUAACCUACCUAUAAGACUGGGAUAACUUCGGGAAACCGGAGCUAAUACCGGAUAAUAUUUUGAACCGCAUGGUUCAAAAGUGAAAGACGGUCUUGCUGUCACUUAUAGAUGGAUCCGCGCUGCAUUAGCUAGUUGGUAAGGUAACGGCUUACCAAGGCAACGAUGCAUAGCCGACCUGAGAGGGUGAUCGGCCACACUGGAACUGAGACAUGGUCCAGACUCCUACGGGAGGCAGCAGUAGGGAAUCUUCCGCAAUGGGCGAAAGCCUGACGGAGCAACGCCGCGUGAGUGAUGAAGGUCUUCGGAUCGUAAAACUCUGUUAUUAGGGAAGAACAUAUGUGUAAGUAACUGUGCACAUCUUGACGUUACCUAAUCAGAAAGCCACGGCUAACUACGUG
rnacentral:rRNA from 1 species